UAGGGAAUCUUCCACAAUGGACGAAAGUCUGAUGGAGCAACGCCGCGUGAGUGAAGAAGGUUUUCGGAUCGUAAAGCCCUGUUGUUGGUGAAGAAGGAUAGAGGCAGUAACUGGUCUUUAUUUGACGGUAAUCAACCAGAAAGUCACGGCUAACUACGUGUCAG
rnacentral:rRNA from 1 species